CUUGAGCGAUAGAUGUAUCUUAUUUUAUAAACAUAGUCAUGUUUCCUUUACAUUUAAAUCUAAUUAUUUUGCUCGAUUAAAAAAUAUGAACUAACGCGCAAUACCAAACGAAAAAAAGUUUACUAAUUAAAUCCCUUUUAUAAUUAUUAAAAAUUUUCUUCCUGCUGUCUAAUGGUUACAUUAAUUCAGCCAUUUCGCCCGUUUUUGAGGAAUACGUAAUUGGUUUGUGAUAAUGUUGUGGAGAAAACAAACUCCUGCCUUGUCUGCGACGAUAGAAAAGGAAAGCAAUACCAGCCGCUACAGCCACUAGUAUCAAUAUGGUUAUAACAAUACCAGCAAUCAUUCCACCAGACAAACCGUACGAAUUCGAAUCU